GAUGAACGCUGGCGGCGUGCCUAAUACAUGCAAGUCGAGCGAACGGACGAGAAGCUUGCUUCUCUGAUGUUAGCGGCGGACGGGUGAGUAACACGUGGAUAACCUACCUAUAAGACUGGGGUAACUUCGGGAAACCGGAGCUAAUACCGGAUAAUAUUUUGAACCGCAUGGUUCAAAAGUAAAAGACGGUCUUGCUGUCACUUAUAGAUGGAUCCGCGCUGCAUUAGCUAGUUGGUAAGGUAACGGCUUACCAAGGCAACGAUGCAUAGCCGACCUGAGAGGGUGAUCGGCCACGCUGGAACUGAGACACGGUCCAGACUCCUACGGGAGGCAGCAGUAGGGAAUCUUCCGCAAUGGGCGAAAGCCUGACGGAGCAACGCCGCGUGAGUGAUGAAGGUCUUCGGAUCGUAAAACUCUGUUAUUAGGGAAGAACAUAUGUGUAAGUAACUGUGCACAUCUUGACGGUACCUAAUCAGAAAGCCACGGCUAACUACGUG
rnacentral:rRNA from 1 species